rnacentral:lncRNA from 1 species
AAAAAAUUAAGAGAGCUACCAAUGUUACUCCAUAUAAUAACUACUACCAGUACAUAUGUGUUGAAAUGUGUAGUAGUACUAGUAAUUAACCACUAAUUAAUCCAUUAUCUAAAGAAAACAAUAGCACUAGUUACUACUAAUAUUCAGUCUAGCUAAUCUACCAGUAGUACUAGUACGUGACAGCUAGCUGCCAGCGUCAGGUGCUUAAUUAAUUAACUCUACUAAUAAUCGUCAUGCACGCACGGCUGGCUGGCGUCCAACAGCGUUGACCCUCUAUAAUUGCCGGUCAACGUCACGAUUGCACACAGCUACCGGCGCAAGCCUUCAACCGGCACCCGCCACUUGCAAGUUGCAAAGCACGUAGGCAUCUGAUCGAUGGCGGCCGGCCGGCGUCGCCCCGCCGGUCGCCGCCGUGGGCCCCACCCCCCGCUCGCGCCCUGCUAGUUACUCCGGCGAGAGAGACGCUGAUCAAGACGUAGUACGUACAUGGAAGAAGAGAGAAUUAGCCGUUCUUGGCCAGCCACCGUUGCUCACUGCGAGCGGGGCCCGCCGGCGCCGCCGAAGUACUGCGUGCUGAGGUCGUACUGGUUGGCGGCGGCGGCAGCGGAGGUGCCUCCUUCGCCGGCGGCCGACGAGGGGGAGCCGUGGUGGUGGGCGCCGUCGUAGACGACGCGGAGGUUGAGGCCGGGGUCGUGCGGGUGCCAC